rnacentral:piRNA from 1 species
UAAUUCAUGGAUAUACAUUAG